UGAGAGAAGGGAGAGAAGUGGGGGUGAAUCGAGCUGCGAGGCGAAAACCUAGCGCCAGCAAUCCCGUGCGUCUUCGAGGAGCCAAUCCAGCCCCGCUUCCCUCCCUCUCCACGGCGCUGCCGGCUCCUCCCCUUUUUCCCUACUCUCCACUGCACCGCCUCUUCCUCCUCUUCACUAUCCUCUCCAGCAGCGGCAAAGAUCUGCCGACAAAGGGAGAUGACAGCGGCGCUCAAUCGGAUCUGCUGAAGAGAAAGAUGAGAGGGAGAGAGACAAGGAAGGAGAGGAGGGAGAAAGAGAGAGCUAAGAAGAGAGGGAGGUGUGAUGGCGGAUGAGAGAAGGUCACCGGAAGGAGCGCGAUGACCUGCAGAUAAAGGGCGGCAGCGGCGCCGCUCGAUUUGAUCUGCGGGAGAGAGAAGAUGAGAGGGAGGAAGAGAAGGAAGAACAUGAGAGGAGGGAGAAAGAGAGAGGAAAGAUGAGAGGGGGUCGACGGCCAAUGGGAGAGGAUCACUGCAAGUGCUGCCGGCUCGUCGUCUUUCACACCGCACUAUAGCAGAGCUACCUUUGUACAACCCACACGCACGCAGUUGCCGGCUGCAGGGGUGUUGCGAGGAGUUAGAGGCCGUGCACCGGCCGGAGCAGCAAGAGCAAUGAUCCGGCGGCCUCUCUUCUCUGCCACUGCUCCCUUCUCUUCCUUCAGCUCUCGAGACGUCAACCUGCAGGUGCUAGAGUUUGUCUGUGGGUUGUUUAUGCCCGGCUUUAAUAUCGGCCCACACUAUUUAUAAGGAACUGUUGAUGUCCAGUUCAGAGGUAUGUUUUCUAGCUGAAGCAUUGUUUGAAUAUCUAUGGCCCAUGCUCCAAGUGAGAUUAAUUCUUUCAUUUAUUUUCUACUAAUGUGAGUGAUUUAGUUCUCACGUACUGAUAAAUGUGCAUGGCAUACUAUUUUUAGGCAAACCAUUGUUUAACAAUGGAUAUGCGGAGGGGUUUUUAUGCAUGUGCAUUUCCCCUGAAUCUAGACAGCUAUUCAACCUAUUGCGGACAUUUUUGGUGGAAUUCAAUGCUUCCUCAUGUAUUUUUGACCUCUAUAUUCCCUAUCAUGUGUAUUUAACAAGUGAAUGUUCAGUGAUUCUCGAUUUUGCCUUUUUAAUCUAUGAAUGCAAUCCUUAAUGUGAUGGAAAUGUAUUGUACAUUUUUUGUCGAGCAAAUAUUGAUUCAUGCCAUGCAUGUUAUCGGUGGGUUUAAAAAAAGUUUUCCUGAUUGUAGUGUGAUUGCUUUAUCAAAGUUGGUUUAGUUACCCAACCUUCUAUUUUCAUUGAUUUUGUAUGAUUCUUGAAAACGGAGUGUGGGUUGUGUUUAUCAAUAAUAUACUACAGAUGUCAGUUCUGUUGCCAAAUGAUCUAAACUUGAUUUACCCACUUAUAGAACAGAAAAGAGUAUGGUAUUUACCUUCCGUGGAUUUACUUGAAUGACUGUACAAGUAUCUCGGCUUGGUUUAUUUCCCAUCUCCAAUUUGAUUAAUAAUUACUAAGAUAUUUUUUCUUACUCCUUAUUUACUGACAUGUUUGAUUUGUAGUCUCCUCGUAUAUAAUCAAGUAGUGGUAGCUAAACAAACGUAUAUCUUGCCAUGCAUUGGUGAAAGUAUUAAAGCUUGUCUCUGGUUUACUUUCCAUGUGCUAUCCAUACCCAUGUUUUAUGUAGUUAAUUAAUAAACUCUCUCUAAAUAUGAUGAUCACAUGAGAUCAGACAGGUUCAUGGGGUGAUCGUGUAGCCGAGUUGAAAGUCAGAGGGUUUGUGCUAUGGGUCAUAGGAAUGGUCAUAACCUUAUUUGUUGGAAUAUUGCCUAAGAUGAUCAAAGCUAAUUAUUUUAGUCACUUGAUCUGUUAUAUUGCCAUAAACUGAAUUGGUACUAGGCGAACAUGAGGAUCUUUUAGCAGGUAGCCAUGUCAAAAACAAGAUAUAUGUCUAACAUAUAAUUUGAGAUGAAGUUGUCCUGCUCAAUUAAUUUAUAGUUUUCUGGAUGUUCUGGUUUUCAGUUUGGG